UGGGGAAUAUUGCACAAUGGGCGCAAGCCUGAUGCAGCAACGCCGCGUGAACGAUGAAGGUCUUCGGAUCGUAAAGUUCUGUUGCAGGGGAAGAUAAUGACGGUACCCUGUGAGGAAGCCCCGGCUAACUACUUGCCAGCAGCCGCGGUAAUACGUAGGGGGCUAGCGUUAUCCGGAUUUACUGGGCGUAAAGGGUGCGUAGGUGGUCUUUCAAGUCGGUGGUUAAAGGCUACGGCUCAACCGUAGUUAGCCUCCGAAACUGAUAGACUUGAGUGAAGGGGAGGAAAGUGGAAUUCCUAGUGUAGCGGUGAAAUGCGUAGAUAUUAGGAGGAAUACCGGUGGCGAAGGCGACUUUCUGGACUUUUACUGACGCUCAGGUACGAAAGCGUGGGGAGCAAACAGG
rnacentral:rRNA from 1 species